AAUUUCAUUUGUUUUUAAUUUUAUUUUUUACUUCUCUUCUACGGUCGCGCUAAACUUGCCACCGCACCAAUAUCGUCUCACGUCUCUCCCCGAGUCCCCGACUUUUCUCUCUUCCAUUAACUAGCUCUUCGUAACGCCGGCUGCAGGAUGAUUUCUGAGACCAAAUCUUCUUAAACCUUUUUCUUCUGAUUGUUUGCCUUCUAAUUCCUUUCACCAUUUUCCUUUCUAUGUUUUCCGCUUCUGAUUUGGAAGAAUUUGUCGAGAGUGACCAGUGCGAGGAAGAGUGGAUUGAGCUCCCAUUUUGCCGAUGUGCUUUUCGAUACUGAUUCGCUGGAUGCUAUGCACCUCCGGAGAUUCCUAAACACCAUCAACUAUUCAACUGGUUUCAUAAUUCUUUGCAGAGCACAAACAUCCUAUAAGAGAGCACAAACAUCCUAUAAGAGAGAUGAGCGGAGAGACGAGGAGCUAAGAGAAUUUCAAGUGGUGUGCCUUUGAGGUUGCUUAGUCCAACCGUCUCAGUCAUAUCAAUUCCUUCACGAGAGACAUUUGAAAGCUCAAAGGAAUGCAACAAAUUGGCUAAGAUCAAGUGCAACAUUUGAAGACUAAAAGUUGUUCCUGGACAUAUUCUUCUACCAAUACCAAAUGGAAUCAACUCGAAAUUUCGUCCAAAAACAUCAACCUCCUUAUGGCAAUUAAUAAAUCUCUCAGUUCUUCUUGAGCCAUCUUCAACACAUGGGGAUUGUUCAUCAUCAAAGACAAAGCCCAGGAAUUUUAAGAAUAUCUGGAGGACUUAAAUUCAGGAAUGAUAAUUUGAUAAACAUAGAUCAUAUACCAUGCAAGUAGCUUUGAUGGCGGUGUCAGCACUGCAACCAUUAAGAUCAAUCCCUUCUAUUCGUGAAAGCAUCGCAUCCAUGAAAUCUUUCUCGUCGUCACAGACAGUAGAUUCAUCACCCUUGGCGUCUUUCUUCCGACGGUGCUCUUGUAGCCAUUCGUCAACAAGAGAGUCCAUUUCCUUAGCAACUUUCUUCAUAGUUUUCUCAUACCCUCCAAUAUCUAGCCAUCCCAAGAAAGGCAGGGCAUCUGCCGGCACAAAAACCCCAAGAAAUUUAACAAAAUCUCUCAACACCCUUUGGCAAAGUCGCCCCUCUUUUUCAUCACAAUCAGUUGCCAUACCGAAGAUUCGUUUUCCGACCACCAUUUGAAGGACCAUGUUGAGCGUUAGGUCUCCGAACCACUUCUUCAUUUCCAUCAAAACAUGGCCGGAAGGGUCCGAAUUUUUGUUUUCAGUCCAAAGCUUAUAAAGCUCCUUUACAGAGGUCUCAACCUCGGCCGCUCUUAUGUGCUUCAGCUGCUCAAGGCGUCGGUUGGAGAGCAAUUCUGUGGAAAUAAGUUUGCGAAUGUCGCGCCAGUAGGGACCAUAGGGAGUAAAAGCAAGCAAAAAGUUGUUGUAGCCCAAGUGUUUGGCGGCUCGAGACUUGGGACGAGAAGAAAUGUGAACGUCGUGGGCAGUGGUGAGUUCUUUGGCCAAUUUCCAGUCGCUAAUCACCAAACCUCUAUGCACACCGAUCCGAAUAGUGAAGGCCGGUCCAUACUUCUCAGCCAUGUCUCCUAGGACAAUAUGAGGAAGGCUAGAGCCGCUGAAGAUAUGAAGGUGGCCUAUAAUUGGCCACGCCCCACCUGCUUCUGGCGGCAAUCUUCGUGUCUGGGAUUUGGCAUUGCCAGAGACAUAAUGAGUAACUACAUACAAAGCAAUUGCUACGACAACAAUGGACGGGUUAAGGUAUUUUAGGAGUUCCAUAUUUGGCUCUUCUUUAAAUUAUCACUGCGGCUUAAUGAAUGGGUUAUAUUAUAUAGGGAUAUUUAGAGCUUUCUUAAAUAGUACGGAGUAAAUAAAACGAAAAAACAAUAAUAUAUUUUAGAACGCAAAUCAUGUUUGUUUGACUUUAGAGCACCACAACCUAUUAGCUAGCUUGCUGAUUUACUGACAUGCUAAUGCCCUUAUUUGAUUGGAUUAGCUUAGAUUUUACGAAUUGCAUUCAAAAUUGCAAUAUAUUUUGAUGUUACCGAAA